rnacentral:rRNA from 1 species
AGAGUUUGAUCCUGGCUCAGAAUGAACGCUGGCGGCAUGCCUAACACAUGCAAGUCGAACGAGACCUUCGGGUCUAGUGGCGCACGGGUGCGUAACGCGUGGGAAUCUGCCCCUUGGUUCGGAAUAACAGUUGGAAACGACUGCUAAUACCGGAUGAUGACGUAAGUCCAAAGAUUUAUCGCCGAGGGAUGAGCCCGCGUAGGAUUAGGUAGUUGGUGUGGUAAAGGCGCACCAAGCCGACGAUCCUUAGCUGGUCUGAGAGGAUGAUCAGCCACACUGGGACUGAGACACGGCCCAGACUCCUACGAGAGGCAGCAGUGGGGAAUAUUGGACAAUGGGCGAAAGCCUGAUCCAGCAAUGCCGCGUGAGUGAUGAAGGCCUUAGGGUUGUAAAGCUCUUUUACCCGGGAUGAUAAUGACAGUACCGGGAGAAUAAGCUCCGGCUAACUCCGUGCCAGCAGCCGCGGUAAUACGGAGGGAGCUAGCGUUAUUCGGAAUUACUGGGCGUAAAGCGCACGUAGGCGGCUUUGUAAGUAAGAGGUGAAAGCCCAGAGCUCAACUCUGGAAUUGCCUUUUAGACUGCAUCGCUUGAAUCAUGGAGAGGUCAGUGGAAUUCCGAGUGUAGAGGUGAAAUUCGUAGAUAUUCGGAAGAACACCAGUGGCGAAGGCGGCUGACUGGACAUGUAUUGACGCUGAGGUGCGAAAGCGUGGGGAGCAAACAGGAUUAGAUACCCUAGUAGUCC